GAUGAACGCUGGCGGCGUGCCUAAUACAUGCAAGUCGAGCGAACAGACGAGGAGCUUGCUCCUCUGACGUUAGCGGCGGACGGGUGAGUAACACGUGGAUAACCUACCUAUAAGACUGGGAUAACUUCGGGAAACCGGAGCUAAUACCGGAUAAUAUAUUGAACCGCAUGGUUCAAUAGUGAAAGACGGUUUUGCUGUCACUUAUAGAUGGAUCCGCGCCGCAUUAGCUAGUUGGUAAGGUAACGGCUUACCAAGGCAACGAUGCGUAGCCGACCUGAGAGGGUGAUCGGCCAAACUUGAACUUAGCCCCGGUCCAGACUCCUACGGGAGGCCGCAGUAGGGAAUCUUCCGCAAUGGGCGAAAGCCUGACGGAGCAACGCCGCGUGAGUGAUGAAGGUCUUCGGAUCGUAAAACUCUGUUAUUAGGGAAGAACAAAUGUGUAAGUAACUAUGCACGUCUUGACGGUACCUAAUCAGAAAGCCACGGCUAACUACGUG
rnacentral:rRNA from 1 species